CACGUGUCUCCAUCCCGUCCCUCUAGCCAGGGCCUACCCCGGUACAUUCUUCUAUUGAGGAAGUACCAGGGGAAAAGAACUGUGCUCAAUUUCCUGGGGCUGCAGCUGGACUACAGCAGACAUUGGUUGUUGUUUCUGCUCAGGUUCCCAUGUCCAGAGCAAGCAAGAGUCCUGCCUAGCGCAGGAAAGUGCAUUACACCACCAGUAGGGGGUGCCACAAAGACUCCACCAGCAGGGGGCGCCACAAAGCCUCAGUGGAUUAGUUGCUUUUCUUUUUGCUUUUACUCAAUAAAGUUGACAAUCUGGAUUAGCCUCUAUGCACAUGGAAAAGUCCUAGGUACAGAGAGGCAUAAAGGACUGAAUGAUGGAGCCAACCCCUGAACUUCUGUAGCUUCAUGGAAAACAUCUGCAGAGCUGCUUUGCACCAAGGAGGGAUGUGGUUCCCCCUCCCUGCUGCUGUGGCUGGGGAACACUGACAGCUAGGAUUUAAAAAAAAAAAAAAAA
rnacentral:lncRNA from 1 species